rnacentral:rRNA from 1 species
GAUGAACGCUAGCGGAAGGCCUAACACAUGCAAGUCGAGCGGUAUUUGGUAGCUUGCUACUAGAGAGAGCGGCGUACGGGUGCGUAACAUGUGUGCAACCUACCCUUAUCAAGGGGAUAGCCAUUCGAAAGGAUGAUUAAUACCCUAUAAUAUAUCAGGUGGCAUCAUUUGAUAUUGAAAGCUACGGUGGAUAAGGAUGGGCACGCACAAGAUUAGCUAGUUGGUAAGGUAACGGCUUACCAAGGCGAUGAUCUUUAGGGGUCCUGAGAGGGAGAUCCCCCACACUGGGACUGAGACACGGCCCAGACUCCUACGGGAGGCAGCAGUGAGGAAUAUUGGACAAUGGGUGGGAGCCUGAUCCAGCCAUUCCGCGUGCAGGAAGAAGGUCUUAUGGAUUGUAAACUGCUUUUAUAUAGGGAUAAACCUACUCUCGAGAGGGUAGCUGAAGGUACUAUAUGAAUAAGCACCGGCUAACUCCGUGCCAGCAGCCGCGGUAAUACGGAGGGUGCAAGCGUUAUCCGGACUUAUUGGGUUUAAAGGGUCCGUAGGCGGGUUAUUAAGUCAGUGGUGAAAUCUCAUAGCUCAACUAUGAAACUGCCAUUGAUACUGAUAGUCUUGAGUAUAUUUGAAGUAGCUGGAAUAAGUAGUGUAGCGGUGAAAUGCAUAGAUAUUACUUAGAACACCAAUAGCGAAGGCAGGUUACUAAGAUAUUACUGACGCUGAGGGACGAGAGCGUAGGGAGCGAACAGGAUUAGAUACCCUGGUAGUCUACGCUGUAAACGAUGCUAACUCGUUUUUGGUAUUUAGGUAUCAGAGACUAAGCGAAAGUGAUAAGUUAGCCACCUGGGGAGUACGCUCGCAAGGUUAAAACUCAAAUGAAUUGACGGGGGCCCGCACAAGCGGUGGAGCAUGUGGUUUAAUUCGAUGCAACGCGAAGAACCUUACCUACUCUUGACAUCCAUGGAAUCUUGUAGAGAUAUGAGAGCGCCUUCGGGAACCAUGAGACAGGUGCUGCAUGGCUGUCGUCAGCUCGUGUUGUGAAAUGUUGGGUUAAGUCCCGCAACGAGCGCAACCCUUAAGCUUAGUUGCCAUCAUUAAGUUGGGCACUCUAAGUUGACUGCCGAUGACAAACCGGAGGAAGGUGGGGAUGACGUCAAAUCAUCAUGCCCCUUAUGAUUUGGGCUACACACGUGCUACAAUGGACAAUACAAAGGGCAGCGAAACCGCGAGGUCAAGCAAAUCCCAUAAAGUUGUUCUCAGUUCGGAUUGUAGUCUGCAACUCGACUACAUGAAGCUGGAAUCGCUAGUAAUCGUAGAUCAGCACGCUACGGUGAAUACGUUCCCGGGUCU